CGAACGGGCGAGUAACAUAUCGGAACGUGCCCAGUAAUGGGGGAUAGCCCGGCGAAAGCCGGAUUAAUACCGCAUACGACCUACGGGUGAAAGCGGGGGACCUGCAAGGGCCUCGCGUUAUUGGAGCGGCCGAUAUCAGAUUAGCUAGUUGGUGGGGUAAAGGCCUACCAAGGCGACGAUCUGUAGCUGGUCUGAGAGGACGACCAGCCACACUGGGACUGAGACACGGCCCAG
rnacentral:rRNA from 1 species